GACAGAGGUGCCGAGCGUUAGGCGAAUUCACUGGGCUUAAAGCGUGUGUAGGCGGAUCGUUAAGUACCUUGUGAAAUCCCACGGCUCAACCGUGGAACUGCUGGGUAUACUGGCGGUCUUGAGCCACCUAGGGGCGAGCGGAACAAACGGUGGAGCGGUGAAAUGCGUAGAUAUCGUUUGGAACGCCAACGGUGAAAACAGCUCGCUGGGGGUGUGCUGACGCUGAGACACGAAAGCCAGGGGAGCGAACGGG
rnacentral:rRNA from 1 species